UACGGGGGGGCAAGCGUUGUUCGGAAUUCCUGGGCGUAAAGGGCUCGUAGGCGGCCAACUAAGUCGGAUGUGAAAUCCCCAGGCUUAACCUGGGAACUGCAUCCGAUACUGGAUGGCUUGAAUCCGGGAGAGGGAUGCAGAAUUCCAGGUGUAGCGGUGAAAUGCGUAGAUAUCUGGAGGAAUACCGGUGGCGAAGGCGGCAUCCUGGACCGGCAUUGACGCUGAUGAGCGAAAGCUAGGGGAGCAAACGGG
rnacentral:rRNA from 1 species